rnacentral:rRNA from 1 species
UACGUAGGGUGCGAGCGUUGUCCGGAAUUAUUGGGCGUAAAGAGCUUGUAGGUGGCUCGUCGCGUCGGGAGUGAAAACCCGCGGCUUAACCGCGGGCCUGCUUUCGAUACGGGCGGGCUAGAGUUCGGCAGGGGAGACUGGAAUUCCUGGUGUAGCGGUGGAAUGCGCAGAUAUCAGGAGGAACACCGGUGGCGAAGGCGGGUCUCUGGGCCGUAACUGACGCUGAGGAGCGAAAGCGUGGGGAGCGAACAGG